GAUCCUGGCUCAGGAUGAACGCUAGCGACAGGCUUAACACAUGCAAGUCGAGGGGCAGCAUGAUUUGUAGAAAUACAGAUUGAUGGCGACCGGCGCACGGGUGAGUAACACGUAUGCAACUUACCUAUCAGAGGGGGAUAGCCCGGCGAAAGUCGGAUUAAUACCCCAUAAAACAGGGGUCCCGCAUGGGAAUAUUUGUUAAAGAUUCAUCGCUGAUAGAUAGGCAUGCGUUCCA
rnacentral:rRNA from 1 species